GGGGGGGGGGGGGGGGGGGGGGGGGGGGUGCGGGUGGGGGGGGUGAGGGGAGCUUGCUCCUGGAUUCAGCGGCGGACGGGUGAGUAAUGCCUAGGAAUCUGCCUGGUAGUGGGGGAGUACGUCCGGAAACGGUCGCUAAUACCGCAUACGUCCUGUGGGAGCAAGUGGGGGAUCUUCGGACCUCACGCUAUCAGAUGAGCCUAGGUCGGAUUAGCUAGUUGGUGGGGUAAAGGCCUACCAAGGCGACGAUCCGUAACUGGUCUGAGAGGAUGAUCAGUCACACUGGAACUGAGACACGGUCCAGACUCCUACGGGAGGCAGCAGUGGGGAAUAUUGGACAAUGGGCGAAAGCCUGAUCCAGCCAUGCCGCGUGUGUGAAGAAGGUCUUCGGAUUGUAAAGCACUUUAAGUUGGGAGGAAGGGCAGUAAGUUAAUACCUUGCUGUUUUGACGUUACCAACAGAAUAAGCACCGGCUAACUUCGUG
rnacentral:rRNA from 1 species